UGGGGGUCACUGCCUGCGGUCAAGGAA
rnacentral:piRNA from 1 species